rnacentral:tRNA from 1 species
AAGGGAGACCUAAUUCGGGUAUAAGACGAAAAAAGAGUAGUCGAAACCAAGAAUCAAUCCCAAAAGGUCGGAACGAGGUAUGUGGCUUUCAAACUAGGUUCUGGGUUCACACAAGACCUGAAUCAGGAACAAGGGCUAUUAGCUCAGGUGGUUAGAGCGCACCCCUGAUAAGGGUGAGGUCCCUGGUUCGAGUCCAGGAUGGCCCACCUGCACAGGUGGCCAAAACAAAGAAGCGAGGAAUCAGCACCUUAUCUUAUCUAUAUAUAAGAGAGAAUGCUGGCUCUGAGUAAAGAGUCCAGAGGAACCUUGAAAACUGCAUAGAGCUAGGUGAAAAAGCCAAAAAAGAAGACCGCAA